rnacentral:misc_RNA from 1 species
UCCCGGUUGGCCCGGGCGGUCUCGUAUGAAAAGUACAACAUACGACAAGGGUUGCGCUCGUUGCGGGACUUAACCCAACAUCUCACGACACGAGCUGACGACGGCCAUGCAGCACCUGUCACCUAUCCAGCCGGACUGACCGCCUAGUUUCUUAGGCGUACGAUAGGGAUGUCAAACCUCGGAUAAGGUUCUUCGCGUAGCAUCGAAUUAAACCACAUGAUCCACUGCUUGUGCGGAGCCCCGUCAAUUCCUUUGAGUUUUAAUCUUGCGAUCGUACUCCCCAGGCGGCACACUUAACGCGUUAGCUUCUCAGCACAGGGGGUCGAUACCCCAUACUAAUAGUGUGCAUCGUUUACGGCGUGGACUAC